rnacentral:rRNA from 1 species
CCUGAUCCAGCCAUGCCGCGUGUGUGAAGAAGGCCUUUUGGUUGUAAAGCACUUUAAGCAGUGAAGAAGACCAUAUGGUUAAUACCCAUAUGCGAUGACAUUAGCUGCAGAAUAAGCACCGGCUAACUCUGUGCCAGCAGCCGCGGUAAUAA